rnacentral:lncRNA from 1 species
GUGUGUUUUGGUUCGGAUGCUGAUGUAAGUCCAGUGAUUGGCAUUCAGGCUCCAUGUUUGCCUGCUUGUGUGUUUGUUUGUUUGGCGUGCGUGUAGCCGAACUACGGCAACUCUGAUGUGAGAGUUGAUGAGCGUUUUCGAGAGCGGAGAGAGAUUUCAUUGAGGUUCUUUGUGUGAAGCAGAUGGGGAGGACGAGGACGAUGAAGCUGCUUCUGUGUUCUCCGUUUCCAUUUUCUUGUUUUUUAUUUUUUUUUUUUAUUUUUUUAUUUAUUUAAUUUAAUUAGUUUUUAACACAAAAAACCAUAAAAAACGUUUAAUUUGUUUUUUUAUUUUAACUCUUUUUUUAUUUUCAUCCCGGUUUAUAUAUUCAACGUAGCAGUAUAAUAUUAAAUAACCUUGAGUGGUCUGGUGGAGGAGGGCAGUGUUCGUAUGUUCUUGAGUGGGGUGGGUUCAAUACUCAUGUGUGACCUUUUUUGGCAUUUUAUUUCUUUUAGCUAUAUUAUUUUUUCUUUUAGCAUUUUAGUUUCUUUUUUAUGUUUAUGCCUUUAUUACACUCAUAUGUUCAUUUUGUUAAUAACGUAAAGUUGUUAUAUUUUAAUUCAAAACCAUUUUAAAACUAUAAAAAUCAUAUUUUUCUCGAUUUAAUAUCGAGCCCAUUUUACACCCUUGUAAGUCGAUUGCUUUUUAAGCAUCGCCAUCGACGUCACAUAGCUUACUCUUGGGCUUUCUUACAAUGAGCCGGUUCCUUUGCACUUACACUCAUACAUUGUUUAAUGCUUCAUUAUUUCAUUCUUUGAUUAUUUGAUUAGACUAUAUACUUGUUUAUAUCUUACUUGUUUGAUU